CAAAAACGAGAGCAACAACAGUAGGCGUAGCACACUUUGCCAUGUCUCCAGCCGCCAAAAAGGAUGCGAUAGUGGUUUCUUCGUUGCUUUUUCAUUUUUUAUCUACUGGUACGGAUGCGGCACGCGUAGACGCAUUAAAUCAAAUUAAAAGCGCGGCUAAAAGAAGUGACAAAACCCCAGCUCGUGACUUUGGUACAUGUGUCUGUGCGGCUUGUAAAAAUCACUUUUUAAAGCAUUUCGGCCGGGUAAAGCGACAGAUACACGCAUUGAAGCGUGGGCACUUUUGCGUUUUCCAGGACGAAACCAAAGGGCCACACCCACCGAGGCAGUCAGCCAGCAUAUUUAUUUUAUUCCAGCUCGUUCUGGCAGUGCAUAAAACUGUUUUUAACAUGUCCUGCCGCUUCUGCCGCUCCUGCUGCUCCUGUUUUUGUUGGCAUCCCUUUUUAUGCCAACUGUAAGCGAUCCGCACGAAACUGACACAAAUACGGGGCCGCUGAAGUGCCGAAGGACCAAAGGACUGAAGGGCGGAAGCCGAGUGUUGGACAAGCAGAUUUAAACCGUUACGGUUUACCUGCCACCACACCACUGUGCUCCUGUAAACACAUACAUAUAUGCGCACAUAUAGAUGACAACGCCGCACUUUGCGCAAUCACAGGAGCCGAUGGAGGCCGCCAGUUGGAGCGCAGUUUGGGGGCAGUUUUCCACCCGAGAGCAGGGCCAGAAUGCCUGGCGACGGCUGAGUGAAACAGCUUCCAUUGAUUUCACACAGCUUUGGUGAAGAAAAACACGUAAAAGCCGAUGCAGUGCCACACAAAAAGAAACAGGGAAGCCUAACAAUUUAAAAAAAGGAAAUAAUGAUCUGGUCCAGUGUACCGACAGGCAGUUACCCCAGGC